GAAAAACGAAGAAAGCCCUUGUAAGGGAGACAUAAAGAGGCUUUGCUAAUUAGAAAUAAUAAGAUUCACCAUUCGAUAUGCCUGGAGUUCCAUUUAAAUGCGACUUGUCAACCCACAUCCUUGUCUUAUUGAUGACACACAGACCUCAGCGUCCCCCACAGCGUUUGGUCGCCAUGCCAUUAGCAUCCUAAAUAGCUACCAAUAUCUAAGAAAUAUUUAUUUGUUUUCCUGAUUUGUUUAGCCAAAUGGUGUCCGUUUCUGAACUACCGAAACAGAAAGCGACCAUCGCCGAAGCUAACGAGACAGCAACGGUCGGCCGGGCGCGUUUAUUAUUUUCUGAUAGCCGAUACGUCCCGUAUCCGCUUCCCCAAGCCCCAAGCCACAUUAAACCCCAUCCACCGCCCCCUCAUCUGUCUCUCGGGUCCGGCGUUGGCUCAUGCCCCGAGAGGAGACACCGCGGGCGAAGGAGGAGGAGGAGGGAUGAACGACCUCUCCGUCACCGCCGCCGGCCGCCGGUGCCAGCUCCCGGUCCCCGCCGCCGUCCCCUGCGUCAUUGUCCCUCUUCUUCUCGCCGCCCUCGCCGUCUCCCUCCUCAUCCUCGUCGUCGUCCACAACGCCCUUCUCCUCGCCGCCGUCCUCCUCCUCUCCGCCCUUGUCGCCUCCUUCCUCCUCUGGAACGCGGCCAGCUUCCGGAACGACCGCGCCGUUCUUGUCUUCCUCGACCGCCUCCCGGCCUCCGACCUCGUCACCGCCAGGGACGGCCAGCUCGUCAAGAUCACCGGGAGGUUUGCUGCAGACUUUUACAUGACAGAUAUAAAGUCUGGUGCCAGAGCUUUGGUGAAGGCUGGUUACAGUUCGAAAGUGUUCCCCCUGGUGGAUGAAAACAUACUCGUUAACACGACAAGUAAAAACAGAGAACUGUCUUCUACCUUGAAAAAAUGGCUGGAAAGAAGACACCUUCCUGCUGAAACUCGUUUAUUACGUCUUAAGGAAGGGUACAUCAAGGAGGGAAGCGCUUUGACUGUGAUGGGAAUGUUGAGUAAAAAGAAUGGAGCCCUCAUGAUCAUUCCACCACCUGAGCCUUUCUCUACAGGUUGCCUAUUGCAAAAAUUUCUUCUUCCUGCUGAUAUUGAUGGCCUAGUUAUGAAGUUCUCCGGCAAGAAUUGUUCCACGACUAACCUAAGCCUUUCGUGAGCCACACUGACUAUCUGAUUUUAUUUGGUGAAAAUGAGCCAUCUGGUUUUUCUACAAAUUUCCUUUUGAACUUAUCCUCCAAUUCUUAUCCAAGAGUAUCAGCAGUAGACCAGAUUAAUUGCUUUUAAUGUUGGAUCAUUACAGCUCAUAAGCAUAAAAGUAUCUUUUCAGGUAUGGCAUUGCUGAAUUGCACAUCUGUGGGCUUGCAUACUUCUGAAUUGCACACAUCUCAAGAGUCAUAAGCAAGCACUGCAAGAUUCCUGUUGUAGAUAAGAAAAGGUUGCUGCAGUGUACAAGUAAUAAUAUCAGAAUAUCUUGACUGAAAUUAUAAACGAUCCGGACAAGUUUGUAAAGAAUUCUGACCAAGCUGCAAUAGACUUUUCUCUUUUUUUAAACAUUGUUUUCCUCUAAUAUGUAGGAUCAGAUUCAAUUAACAGAUUCUAAUUAGAGGAAAUUAACCGGUAAAGGGUGCUGGCUAUGCAAAACAUGCUAUAUUGGUGUGUUUAUGGGCAUAUGGCUUGGCAAUAUCAAACUUAUUCAAGCAGGUGGAAUGCAUCUUGGAUAUUUUUUUGCAGAUCACAUUCCAGAUUUACUCUAAUUCCUUAUUUUAUCCAACAACUUUUAUGUUUACAUAGCUGAAGCAAUACCUCCUAUCCCUUCAGGGAGGUUGAAUUAUAUAUGCUUCUGACAAGCGUUGUGUAGACUUGCUGGUAAGCUCAGCAAUUAUAUAAGUUUACGUAAGGUUAUCUUUGGUAGAAAGAAGCUAAUAUCAUGUAAAUAUAUACUAAAUAGUCUUUCUUUGCUGAAGAUGUCGCUCCAACUUACCGCGAUGAUGCCCUUUUCUUAAUGAAUAUAGUUAUUAUUGUUAUUGGAAUUUCAAAUGAGUUAAUGUUGUCUGAAUUGCUUUGGUCAUGAAAUAUAGUGAGAAGAUAUAGGUUUGGUUGUCUAAAAAGAAGAGGAACCAGGGUUGUGAAAUAUGGUUUCAAAAACAUUCUAGAUUCUUUUGCAUUCAGAUUGGAACUAACUGCUAAAUAGCCACAAAAGCUAAACUAUUGUAAGAAGUGUUGUUUAUAAUAUUUGUGUUCUUUUUUUAAAAAAAAAAAAACGUACCAUGUUGACAUCUGCUUCAUGGUACUGUGUUCUCCGUCGACUUGUGAAAGAGAGGUCACUUGGGCAAACAGUGCUGUUUUUCGUUUUCUUUCUUUUUUUGUUUGUUUGUGUGUAACGGACAGAAAAGUUAGGAGUGCUGAAGUAUCAAUAAUGUCAAUUAUUUCAUUACACCA